GGUUCAGUAAUUAAAUAUUAUAAUAUUGGAUUGCAAAUCCUGAGUUGCCUUUUGGCCUGAGCUU
rnacentral:tRNA from 1 species